GGGGGUAUAGCUCAGUGGUUAGAGCACCCGCAUACGUAUCGGAAGGUCGGGGGUUCGACUCCCUCUGCCUCCA
rfam:Pristionchus pacificus strain PS312 contig5536, whole genome shotgun sequence.